UGUCAGUAUAAUAAUUGUAAAGAAAGUCUCUGUUCUCUAUCUUACUUCUUUUAUUAAGGCAGACGAGCUUACGGCCCACAUGAUGCAAGCACUGAUGGAGGUCAGCCAUACCUUGGACUCAAACAAGCCAACAUAUAUAUUACUUUGUCUACCACAUAUAUUAACGUACCGGACAUCUCCCGUGACACAUCCGGACAUCGCACUCAAUAUAAAGCGUCUGCGAGCCGGUGAAUCUGAACGUUUUCAUGUACGCGUAAACUUGAGUUUCGAAUACGCCCGUCUCCGACCAGGAGCCGCGAAAACGAGAAAUCAACUUGUCAUCAACCGGACAUCUGGAAGAAAAAAUAAAAAUCAUACCCCUAAUUUUUAAUAAGUAUGUCUCUAGAUGGGCAAGCAAGCUCGCAGCUCUGCUGUUAAUGGUUACUGAAGUUUAUUAUGACGAUUCUUAGGACUUAUUGUAUUGUAAGCCCGUACAGGUAGGCGCCACCAGUUCACUUUAGCAGCAGAGCAGUAAUGCGUUCCCGUUUGAAGGGUUGAAUAUCCUAUAUACUACACAGUCAAGACUUAAAUUUCAUAUCUCAAUAUAGUUGGGACAACCACGUUAUGACGUCUAUAGUAUCCGGUACGCUACGCUGUGACUGGUAGGUGAGUUCACGGCGCUCAACCUGAGAGGAAUUGCUAACAUUGGCCUUAGCAAGAGCAGUGCUUCACAAAAUCAGUCACUGGACGGAAUCGCAACCCACUGAGAAGAUCCAGCCAGAAACUCAGUGGGUAAAGUUCCACUUGAAGUGCUUCGCGGUAUAGAUAGACAGAAUGGCAGUACUUAUCCGUGCGAGCUAAAAUUAUGUGUAUUUAAAAUAAAUAUGUAUUAUUUGAUCGAAGAUAUUGUCUUAGAACUAUUCAAUAACAAUAGAUAAGACAUUU